rnacentral:rRNA from 1 species
GUGUCAGCCGCCGCGGUAAUACGGAGGGUGCAAGCGUUAUCCGGAUUCACUGGGUUUAAAGGGUGCGUAGGUGGGAAUGUAAGUCAGUGGUGAAAUCUCCGUGCUUAACAUGGAAACUGCCAUUGAUACUAUGUUUCUUGAAUCUUCCGGAGGUCAGCGGAAUAUGUCAUGUAGCGGUGAAAUGCUUAGAUAUGACAUAGAACACCAAUUGCGAAGGCAGCUGACUACAGGAGCAUUGACACUGAGGCACGAAAGCGUGGGGAUCAAACAGGAUUAGAUACCCCCGUAGUCC